rnacentral:rRNA from 1 species
UAGCCGUAAACGAUACUCGCUAGGUGUCGGCCACGGUGCGACCGUUGUCGGUGCCGUAGGGAAGCCGUGAAGCGAGCCACCUGGGAAGUACGGCCGCGAGGCUGAAACUUAAAGGAAUUGGCGGGGGAGCACCACAACGGGUGGAGCUUGCGGUUUAAUUGGAUUCAACGCCGGAAAUCUUACCGGGACCGACAGCAACAUGAAGGCCAGGCUGAAGACUUUGCCGGAUUAGCUGAGAGGAGGUGCAUGGCGUAGUCGUGU